GGUGAACGCUGGCGGCGUGCCUAACACAUGCAAGUCGAGCGGGUACCCGCAAGGGUACCAGCGGCGCACGGGUGAGUAACACGUGGGUAAUCUACCCCUCGGAGGGGGAUAACCGGGGGAAACUCCGGCUAAUACCCCAUACGAUCCAACAACACAAGUUGUUGGAUGAAAGGAGCGUUUGCUCCGCCGAGGGAUGAGCCCGCGGCCCAUCAGGUAGUUGGUGGGGUAAUGGCCCACCAAGCCUACGACGGGUAGCCGGCCUGAGAGGGUGGUCGGCCACAAGGGCACUGAGACACGGGCCCUACUCCUACGGGAGGCAGCAGUGGGGAAUCUUGGACAAUGGGCGAAAGCCUGAUCCAGCGACGCCGCGUGGGGGGUGAAGCCCUUCGGGGUGUAAACCCCUGUUGCGAGGGAGGAAUAAGGCCUGGAGGAAAUGCCAGGCCGAUGACUGUACCUCGCGAGGAAGCCCCGGCUAACUACGUGCCAGCAGCCGCGGUAAUACGUAGGGGGCGAGCGUUACCCGGAUUCACUGGGCGUAAAGCGGGUGUAGGCGGCUCGGUAAGUCGGGUGUGAAAUCCCACAGCUCAACUGUGGAAUUGCGCCCGAAACUGCUGAGCUUGGGGCCGGUAGAGGGAGACGGAACUGCCGGUGUAGGGGUGAAAUCCGUAGAUAUCGGCAGGAACGCCGGUGGGGAAGCCGGUCUCCUGGGCCGCGCCCGACGCUGAGACCCGAAAGCUAGGGGAGCAAACC
rnacentral:rRNA from 1 species